AACUAAUUUUUUCGUGAUGAACCCACUUUGCUAUCAGAGUUGAAUUUUGGUACCAAACUAAUAUUAGUCAGACAACAAUGAUACUUGCACGAUUGGGCAUGGUGAAGCAAAUGUUAUUGGUAAUGAGACCAUUGAUCAUAAAAAUAUCAAUGAUUCUGUUGCUAAAAUGUGGCCAAAACAACUGCACGAGACGAUGGAAGCUUUAUAUUUGUACCUGACAAUUAUUUUUCUUUUUUUUUUAGGAGAAAGAUUGUAUUUUAUUCCAAGGUGGAAAUAGAUUGUUGUACAUCAGAUUCAAAUAAGAGGUCCAAUUGGUAAGGGACCUCAUCUAUCCAACAUCUUUCUCCUAAAACAAAAGCUAGUCUAGCUAAUUUGUG
rnacentral:lncRNA from 1 species